CGGCCCUGACUGCGGCAUGGCUGUCAGGCUCCUCUGCUGUGUGACCCUUUACCUGCUGGGUGCAGGCUUCACGGAUGCUGAUGUUUACCAGACCCCAAGACACUGUGUGACAGGGACGGGAAGGAAGAUUACUCUAGAAUGUUCUCAAACUAUGGGCCAUGACAAUAUGUACUGGUAUCAGCAAGACCCAGGAAUGGAACUGCAGCUGAUCCAUUAUUCAUACGGGGUUAAUACCACGGAGAAAGGAGAGCGCUCUUCUAGGUCGACUGUCUCCAGAAUAAGCAAAGAGCAUUUUCCCCUGACGCUAGAGACCGCCAGCUCCUCACAGACAUCUAGCUACUUCUGCGCCAGCAGUGACUACACAGCGCGACACAGGCCCCCACAGACUGCACAAAAAGACAGUCACAAAAGCGAAGAAGUCCCACCUGCUUAA